rnacentral:lncRNA from 1 species
GCACAAAUACAUACUUGUAGUAUUUUUCUCACUAACUACUACUGCACACACCUUACCUCUACUAACAACUUUAUCUAGCUAGACUUAAACCAACACUUCACUCUUCCUUGUUGGCUUAACUAAACUAGCUUAACUUUUAUUCGUGUUGUUGUGUAAAAGUUACACAACCAAGUCUUCUUCCUUGACUUCUUGUUCUUCUUCCUUUC